AACGAACGCUGGCGGCAUGCCUAACACAUGCAAGUCGAACGAGACCUUCGGGUCUAGUGGCGCACGGGUGCGUAACGCGUGGGAACCUGCCCUUAGGUUCGGAAUAACUCCCCGAAAGGGGUGCUAAUACCGGAUAAUGUCUUCGGACCAAAGAUUUAUCGCCUUUGGAUGGGCCCGCGUUGGAUUAGCUAGUUGGUAGGGUAAAAGCCUACCAAGGCGACGAUCCAUAGCUGGUCUGAGAGGAUGAUCAGCCACACUGGGACUGAGACACGGCCCAGACUCAACGGGGGAGAAGAGGGGGGGAAAAUGGAAAAGGGGGAGAAAGAUGAAAAAAGAAAGGCGGGGGGAGGAAAAAGGGCGUGGGGGUUGAAAAGUUUUUUUCCAGGGGAGGAAAAGGAGAGAACGGGGAAAAAAAGCCCCGACAAACUCGGUC
rnacentral:rRNA from 1 species